GACGAACGCUGGCGGCGUGCCUAAUACAUGCAAGUAGAACGCUGAAGGAGGAGCUUGCUCUUCUGGAUGAGUUGCGAACGGGUGAGUAACGCGUAGGUAACCUGCCUGGUAGCGGGGGAUAACUAUUGGAAACGAUAGCUAAUACCGCAUAAAAUUGAUUAUUGCAUGAUAGUCAAUUAAAAGGUGCAAUUGCAUCACUACCAGAUGGACCUGCGUUGUAUUAGCUAGUUGGUGAGGUAACGGCUCACCAAGGCAACGAUACAUAGCCGACCUGAGAGGGGGAUCGGCCACACUGGGACUGAGACACGGCCCAGACUCCUACGGGAGGCAGCAGUAGGGAAUCUUCGGCAAUGGACGGAAGUCUGACCGAGCAACGCCGCGUGAGUGAAGAAGGUUGUCGGAUCGUAAAGCUCUGUUGUAAGAGAAGAACGAGUGUGAGAGUGGAAAGUUCACACUGUGACGGUAUCUUACCAGAAAGGGACGGCUAACUACGUG
rnacentral:rRNA from 1 species